CACAAAUUCUACUCCAAUUUUUCUUAGAGCCAUCUUCAAACGAAUGAAACAUUUUGUUUGUUCUUUACAGAUUCACUCUGCCAGCAACAUAAUCUCCUGUAUACCAGGCCUAGUGAAAGUGUGUGAGACACACAGGUUCUGAAACAGAGCCAGAUUCAUUUCUACACCUCCUUGAAAAAAUAAAUAAAAGCCUUAAGUUACCAGAACAAAACCCUGUUUACAAUUGUGCAAGGCAGUUUUUCAACGAAAAUAGUAAAAGCAAGAACUCCUGUCUAAGCUAAUGAUUGCAAUACUUGACAAAAACGAUGGUACCUUCAAUCCUCAUUAAAAGUUUGAGAAGUCUCUGUCUGCACUAAUAACUCAAAAACAGCAUCACUAGAAGUCAGAAAGAAAAAAACAACUCCAUUACCGAGCAGAAGACUUCCUCCCCCUCUUCUUUAAGACCUGGCAAUUCCAACUCCUCAGCCUGAUGCAAUCUUUGCUUAAAUCAUCUAGGGCUGUGAAACACAGCAAACCCCACUUAGAGCCUAAUAGGACACCAGCACUUUAAUCAAGAGACUUGAGUUGUCUGCUCAUGUCUCACUCCUUUUUCAGCAACUAAAUAGCAAAAUUUUCAAGGAACUUACAUAUCUGAACUCAAAAGUGUUUUGAGGCAGCAAGCACCCAAACAAAAGAUUCUAAUGAACAGGAUAAAACACUGGCAUUUGAAUUGCUGAAUUUGAUAGCACUUUUUGUUGUUUUGAACCGCAAAAUGAGCAAUCAGAGGCACCAGAAAUCCCGAAUUUCUUGUUAGACAGGUUUGGCACUCUCACCUGAAGCUGGAUGAAAACCACAGAGUGAGCUCAACUCUGAAGCACACUGCAAAGUGUGUAGCUUAGAAUGCAAGAAUAAGGAGCACUUCAGGAAAAGGUUCAGAUUUUUAUUGUAUUUUGAAAGUGAAGCAAAAUGCAAGUAUUCCAGCCUCAUCCCCACAGCACUCCAAGGCAAGGCUGAUGAAGAGACCUUGCAGAUUGCAAGAUUUCAGCUCAGUUUUACCUGGAGCUGAGCAAAAGGAGGGGCACAGGCAGGAGCCAAGGCUGCCUGGCAGGGCUCAGGAUGCUGCAGUGCCCAGGGAUGGGUGUGGAACCAGAUUUCAAACAAGUAUUCAAUUCAAGUUUCAUAGAAGCAGAAAGAUGCAACCUCACAACCAGACCUUCCUGUCCUGGCCAGCACUGGGAAGCAGAGUUUCACUGGAGUGCCUCUGCUGUCAAGCUCCCAUCCCCAAAUUUCCACUUCUGAUGGUGGCUCCUCAUGCAGCUUCUGCAACACCACUGUCAUGGAACCCCUUCACCUCAACCAAAUGCAAGAGAACUGAAAGGCAUGGUUAUCUCACACAUCCCAGAGCAAGAAAGCAAGGGAGGAGGGAGAGAGAGGAGGGGAAAGAGUCUAAAUUUAGGUAUUUACUUACUGAAACACAGAAAAGAACACACAUCCAGGCACCACGCUGGCAGAAAUCCCAGCAGUCAGGGCUGUGGAGCUUUGCUUCCAGCAAGGAUUUCUUUGCCUGAAGCUCCACAGGAGCCUUCUCCCCCUCUCACAGGAG